UACGAGGGGGGCAAGCGUUGUUCGGAAUUACUGGGCGUAAAGCGCACGUAGGUGGUUCGCUAAGUCAGCUGUGAAAUCCCCGGGCUCAACCUGGGACUUGCAGUUGAAACUGGUGAGCUAGAGUAGGGUAGAGGGGUGUGGAAUUUCCUGUGUAGCGGUGAAAUGCGUAGAUAUAGGAAGGAACACCAGUGGCGAAGGCGACCACCUGGACUGAUACUGACACUGAGGUGCGAAAGCGUGGGGAGCAAACAGG
rnacentral:rRNA from 1 species